rnacentral:rRNA from 1 species
AGAGUUUGAUCCUGGCUCAGGAUGAACGCUGGCGGCGUGCUUAACACAUGCAAGUCGAACGAAGCAAUUAGAAGGAAGUUUUCGGAUGGAAUUUUAAUUGACUGAGUGGCGGACGGGUGAGUAACGCGUGGGUAACCUGCCUCAUACAGGGGGAUAACAGUUGGAAACGACCGCUAAUACCGCAUAACCCGCUGGUGCCGCAUGGCACUGACGGAAAAGAUUUUAUCGGUGUGAGAUGGACCCGCGUCUGAUUAGCCAGUUGGCAGGGUAACGGCCUACCAAAGCGACGAUCAGUAGCCGGCCUGAGAGGGUGAACGGCCACAUUGGGACUGAGACACGGCCCAGACUCCUGCGGGAGGCAGCAGUGGGGAAUAUUGCACAAUGGGGGAAACCCUGAUGCAGCGACGCCGCGUGAGUGAAGAAGUAUUUCGGUAUGUAAAGCUCUAUCAGCAGGGAAGAAAAUGACGGUACCUGAUUAAGAAGCCCCGGCUAACUACGUGCCAGCAGCCGCGGUAAUACAUAGGGGGCAAGCGUUAUCCGGAUUUACUGGGUGUAAAGGGAGCGUAGACGGUGAUGCAAGUCAGAAGUGAAAGCCCGGGGCUCAACUCCGGGACUGCUUUUGAAACUGUGUGACUGGAGUGCAGGAGAGGUAAGCGGAAUUCCUGGUGUAGCGGUGAAAUGCGUAGAUAUCAGGAGGAACACCAGUGGCGAAGGCGGCUUACUGGACUGUAACUGACGUUGAGGCUCGAAAGCGUGGGGAGCAAACAGGAUUAGAUACCCUGGUAGUCCACGCCGUAAACG